CCUGCGCCCUAAUCCAAGACGGGAGCUCGAGAGCUUGAUCCUGCGCGAGUUUACAGACUGCCCUCUUCCCUUUUUGCGAGCACCCAUUCUCUCUUUACACCAAUUGGCCACUGCCAGGGGAUGAAGAGGGAUGAUGUUGACAAUUCAAGACUAUUUCUUACUCUCUUCAGUGCCUGUUUCCUUAAUAUGAUAAUAAACCAGGUACUGCGAUCACUCACCUGAUUUUUGGUUCUUAUGAAGGUGCUUUUUUAAUGUAGUUGUUCAGUUUGAUAUUUCUGUCGGAGGGAUGACUGCUGGAGGAUUCUAUUAAGCCAUCUUGCUCUGCCUUCUUGCAACACAUAAAAUUCAACAGUUUUGUGCAACUGUAAGUUCAAAUGUUUGUAAUUUUAUUUAUUUCAUUUUUUUCUUUGAGAUGAAGUCUCCCUCUUGUUACCCAGGCUGGAGUGCAGUGGCGCGAUCUCGGCUCACUGCAACCUCUACCUCCUGGGUUCAAGCAAUCCUCCUGCCUCAUCCUCCCAAGUAGCUGGGAUUACAGAUGCCUGCCACCAUGUCUUGCUAACUUUUGUACAUUUAGUAGACAUGAGGUUUUGCCAUGUUGUCCGGGCUGGUCUUGAACUCCUGACUUCAAGUGAUCCACCUGUCUUAGCCUCCCAAAGUACUGGGAUUACAGGUGAGAGUCACUGCUCCCUGCUGCAAAUUUCUUAUUAAAUCUGUUUGACAGAUUUUAGAAUUUCUGUAAGUAAUGUUUAAAAUUACAACCAUUUGGGCUGGGUGUGGUGGCUCAUGCCUGUAAUCCCAGCACUUAUUUUAUUUCUUAUCAGGAGAACGAGAAUCAUCAUUCUGCUUUGCAUUGGAGGUUAAGCUCAUUCUUUCCCUUAAAAUGGGAAGAUAAAGGCAUUACCCCCCCUCCAAGGCCUCAUAUGAUACUCCCCAUUCUGACCCAGAACUUUGGAAGUUGGCUAUUGCCAUGUCUGGACUGCAAGUAUGGGAAGCAGAAACUAUUCUGUCUGUUGUCCCCACUACCAUCUCCCUCUCUCAAUAUCAACGUAGAUCCAGACAUUCUGCUUUACCUACCUCCAACCUGACUGUUUCCAUACAGAGUUGUGUUAAGCCUCCUUGCAUGCUGUUAGUGAGAUAUAUCAAAAUUUGGACGAACAAUCAAACUGUCCAAUGCAUUAAUUGUCAUUUAUACACUUGUAUUAACUCCCAUUUUGAUUCCAGGAAAAGUGUAAUGUUGGUUCGAGCUCAAGAAGGAAUCUGGAUUCCGGUAACUUUGCCCAGACCUUGGGAAUCCUCCCCUUCGAUACAUUUAAUUAAUGAAGUGUUACAGUGAAUUCUAAAAAGAUCUAAGAGAUUUGUUUUCACUUUAAUUGCUGUUAUCAUGGGCCUAAUUACAGUCACUGCAAUGGCCACCACUGCCGGAAUGGCAUUACACCAGUCCAUUCAGACGGCUCAUUUUGUUAAUGAUUGGCAAGCCAAUUCCAUCCAAAUGUGGAAUUCUCAACAAGGCAUCGAUCAAAAAUUGGCAAAUCAAAUUAGUGAUUUAAGACAGUUUGUUAUUUAGCUUGGAGAUCAGGUAGUGAGUCUCGAGCAUCACAUGCAAAUGCAGUACAAUUGGAACACUUCGGAUUUCUGCAUCACCCCGUACUCCUAUAACAAGACUGAUCAUUCAUGGGAAAUGGUCAAAAGACACCUUCUGGGUAGGGAAGAUAAUUUAUCAUUGGACAUAACUAAAUUAAAGAAACAAAUUUUUGAAGCCUCUCAAGCUCACUUAUCUGUUGUGCCUGGAGCUGAGGCGUUAGAUCAGGUGGCAGAAAAUCUUUCUGGAUUAAACCCCAGGACUUGGAUUAAGUCUAUUGGGGGCUCCACUGUAGUAAAUUUUGGAAUUAUGUUUCUCUGUUUAAUCGGCUUGUUUUUAGUUUGCCAGACUAGUCAAAGAAUCCUGCGUCAAAAUCAAGAGAAUGAACAAGCCUUCAUCGCCAUGGCACAUUUAUUAUAAAAAGAAAGGGAGAGAUGUUGCGGGAAGUCAGGGACCCCGAACGGAGGGACCAGCUAAAGCCAUGACAGAAGAACAUAAAUUGCGAAGAUUUCAUGGACAUUUAUUAGUUCCCCAAUCAAUACCCUUGUGAUUUCCUAUGCCUGUCUUUACUUUAAUCUCUUAAUCCCAUCAUCUUCGUAAACUGAGGAGGAUGUAUGUCACCUCAGGACCCUGUGAUGAUUGCGUUAGCUGCACAAAUUGUAGAGCAUUUGUGUUUGAACAAUAUGAAAUCUGGGCACCUUGAAAAAAGAACAGGAUAACAGUGAUGUUCAGGGAACAAGAGAGAUAACCUUAAACUCUGACUGCCGGUGAGCUGGACGGAACAGAGCCAUAUUUCUCUUCUUUCAAAAGCAAAUGGGAGAAAUAUCACUGAAUUCUUUUUCUCAGCAAGGAACAUCCCUGAGAAAGAGAGUGCAUCCCUGAGGGUAGGCCUCUGAAAUGGCUGCUUUGGGGCAGCUGUCUUUUAUGGUCGCAGCUGUGGGGAUGAAAUAAGCCCCAGUUUCCCAUAGCGUUCCCAAGCUUAUUAGGACGAGGAAGUUCCCGCCUAAUAAAUUUUGGUCAGACCAGUUGUCUGCUCUCAAACCCUGUCUCCUGAUAAGAUGUUAUCAAUGACAAUGCAUGCCCGAAACUUCAUUAGCAAUUUUAAUUUCACCCCGGUCCUGUGAUCUCACCCUGCCUCCAUUUACCUUGUGAUAUCUUAUUACCUUGUGAAGCAAGUGAUCUCUGUGACCCAUACCCUAUUUGUACACUCCCUCCCCUUUUGAAAAUCACUAAUAAAAAAUUUGCUGGUUUUAUGGCUCAGGGGGCAUCACGGAACCUGCCAACAUGUGAUGUCUGCCCUGGACACCCAGCUUUAAAAUUUC